UCCAUCAUAUCAGCUAGUUCUCUACUUUCCCCUGUAAUUGUACCUACAUUUAGAGUUCCAAAUUUCAGACCAACACUUCUAUCCUUCCUCUUUUCCCUUUUUCUCCUAACCAAUGUGGACUGUGGUAAGAGUCACAAGAGAGACAGUGAAGGAAUCUCCCAGAAGCCUUUAGCAGUAUCUUACAGCGAUGGGUGUGGACGGGGAAAGGUGUGUUCUGGCGUUGUUUCUAUGUGAAUGUUACUGCUGUGACUUGGACCCUGAUACGAUGAGUUGAGCAAGUUGAGCAAGAGAUAAAGUGUAGAAAUCCACAGCUAAUCCAAAAAACAAACAACUCUCUUUAUUAUUUAGUGUUGACCUAUUGGAAUAAAGAUGCUAAUCCGGUCCUUGACAUGUUUUCUCCCACUGCCUCUCAGUUUUUUGUAAGUGACACAUGAACAUACAAGAUUCUGUUGGGUUUUUUUGUUGAUAUUUUGUCUAAAAAUUAUUAUUAUUUUGAAGAACCUACAAAAACUUUAAAUUACAUGUUGUGUGUGUCAUAAUUCCUCAGUACCUAAAGCACAACUUUUCAGUAGGUCACGCAUGUUUUACAGUUACACGACAGAUAUUUAGUCGUGGAAACAAUUAUGUCGUGGAAACAUUAUUGUUGUUCCAGAUCCCCUUUACUAAAGACUGUGGGUUGGAUGAAGUAUGUAACAGUGACUUGGUGCUGAGAGUGACGACCAUUUCUAAGGCAACCAGGUCAGCAUGUCACGUCCUUUUUAACAUGUAGUACAUAUACACUAUGAAAUAUGUGCAGUACUCGGAUACUUUUUGCUCACAUCAUGAUCGACUUGACUUGAUGGCAGUAUCAGAUUUCUGUUGUGCAACUGAAGCAGAUGUUCAGAGGAAAAGUGCAACAAAACAAGAUGAUGUCUUUGCCAUGAGUCCUUUAAAAAAAAGAGGAGGAUAGUUGUAUUUAAGGCUUUUUUUCCACUGCUGUUGUGGUUUCCUGGUGAUUCCUACCAACUGUUUGACCUUUUCUUGUUUCCUCUUUGUAAUGACUUUACAUUUUCCUCUGUUGGGUUAGUUUUGUAUAUAAAAAAAAGCUUUCAUUAAUUAAUUAUUUCAUUAAUUAUUAAAAAGCAUAGCAUUUUAAUUCUUUCUUUAAACUCCACAAGUGAUAUAUAGACUUAUUUGUAAUUACUUUGUUAACUGUAGUUUGCUUCUUACAGUUGACUGUAAUGUUAGUUUUUUCCCGUUUCAGCUCGGCUCCUGUUCUGGUCAGCGCUACUGACAGGGAGCUGUCAUUCCAAGUUGUUGUGUAACCUCUACUACUCCUCCAUCUUCCCUCCUGCGGACAGAGUCAAACACAAACACAGACAGUCGUUUGCCUGGUCGGAUGCCCAGCGUUAAAAUCUAAGCAGGAGGAGAAAUUCCAGAUCAAUUUUGAAUACAGUCUUGAUCAACUUCAAAACCGAGCUGAGCUGAAAUUCGAAGCCAAGAGGCACUCAAAUAUUAAUUUCUAUGUGGCAAAUUCAACCAAUGAGAUUGUAACGACAGUGCAGUCCUUGGACAACAUCGGCCCAGAGUUUAACUACACAGUGAAGAUAAAGGAAGUGGAUCUUUUAGAACUCUAAAUAGUGAACUCUGAUCCAAAUGAUACAUGAUUACUUUUACG